rnacentral:rRNA from 1 species
GCCAGCAGCCGCGGUAACACGGCAGCUCUAGUGGUAGCUGUUUUAUUGGGCCUAAAGCGUUCGUAGCCGGUUGGUAAAGUCACUGGUGAAAUCCCUGGUAGCUUAACUGUGGGAAUUGCUGGUGAUACUGUUGAACUUGAGGUCGGGAGAGGUUAGCGGUAUCCCAGGGUAGAGGUGAAAUUCUGCAAUCCUGGGAGGACCACCUGUGGCGAAGGCGGCUAACUGGAACGAACCUGACGGUGAGGGACGAAAGCUAGGGGCGCGAACCGGAUUAGAUACCCGGGUAGUCCUAGCCGUAAACGAUGCGGACUUGGUGUUGGGAUGGCUUUGAGCCGCUCCGGUGCCGAAGGGAAGCUGUUAAGUCCGCCGCCUGGGAAGUACGGUCGCAAGACUGAAACUUAAAGGAAUUGGCGGGGAGCACCACAACGCGUGGAGCCUUGCGGUUUAAUUGGAUUCAACGCCGGACAUCUCACCAGGAGCGACAGCUGUAUGAUUACCAGGCUGAUGACCUUGUUUGACUAGCUGAGAGGAGGUGCAUGG